rnacentral:misc_RNA from 1 species
UCACAUUUUGAAUGUUUAUUCAGUGUUUAUUUGGACUUGCACGCCGGCGGUUGCUUAAAUCGGAAAGUAGACAGCGACAAAAACGACGUGACGACGACGACGACGACGAAGACAACGUAACGAGGUGACGCAGUGAAGAUAACAAGAAAGUCAAAAACACUUGAGUGAAUGUUAUUUGGCUAUUAAUAUUUUUGUUAUUGCUGCUAUUACUAUUUAAUGAACAACAAAAAGUUAAGUUGUUAUUGUACUCGUAUCUAAGCAUCGUUCAGUUCAUUUGGGUCGCAAGCGGUGCGCUUUAGGUUAUGUGUUCACAACAAUUAAGUGCAAUUUAUUGUGAAAUAAUUGGUUUGGCUGAAACGCAAAAGUGAGCUUAAACUCUCGUCGAAGUGUGGCGACUACCAAAUAAAAAUUACCUGCACGAUCAUUAGAAACUACAAAACAAUAAACAGAGCUAAAUACAUUGUGAUGAAUGCCAUAUUGAGAGUGGGUAUAUUUGCGCGAAAUGCAGCAGCAGCCAUAACCACGUCGUAUCCAACCGGAUCGAGUAAUAAUUAUGCGAGCAUCGCAACAGGUGUCGCCGCGACGAAAACACAACUGCCAGUCGAAAAGUCAGCGUCAACAGCUAAUACCCAUUCAGCGACAGCAAACACAAUAGCUGAGCACAAGCCCAGCUUUGUGCAACAACAAAAUUCUAAACAGGCAAAGGUGAAACCGAUAAGCAGUCAACCGUUGACGGACACUUUUGGACGCCAUCACACAUAUCUGAGGAUCUCAUUGACCGAGCGUUGCAAUUUGCGAUGUCAAUACUGCAUGCCUGCGGAAGGUGUACAACUACAAUCGAAAUCCAAUCUUCUAACAACCGAAGAGAUACUCUAUUUAGCGCGUAUAUUCGUUGAGCAGGGUGUGCGAAAAAUUCGCUUAACAGGCGGUGAGCCAACGGUGCGUCGUGAUAUAGUAAAUAUUAUAGCCAAAAUUAAAUCCAUACCAAAACUCGAAAAUAUUGGUAUUACCACAAAUGGUUUGGUCUUAACUCGUCUGUUGGUGCCCAUGCAACGUGCCGGUCUGGAUGCGGUGAAUAUUAGCUUGGAUACAUUGCGUCCGGAACGUUUCGAAGAAAUCACACGACGUAAGGGUUGGGAACGUGUAAUAGCCGGCAUUGAUUUGGCCAUACAAUUGGGUUAUAAACCGAAACUGAAUUGUGUACUCAUGCGCAAUUUCAAUGAGGAUGAAAUUUGUGAUUUUGUCGAAUUUACGAGAGAUCGCGAUGUGGAUGUGCGUUUUAUUGAGUAUAUGCCAUUUACAGGCAAUAAAUGGCAAACAGAUCGUUUGAUUUCGUUUAAGGAAUCCGUAGAGAUUAUACAAAAAAGAUGGCCCGACUUCAAAGCAUUACCCAAUGGACCAAAUGAUACCUCCAAGGCGUAUGGUGUACCUGGCUAUAAGGGUCAAGUGGGUUUUAUAACAUCGAUGACCGAACAUUUUUGCGGCACUUGUAAUCGUUUACGACUAACCGCCGAUGGAAAUAUAAAAGUUUGUCUUUUUGGUAAUAAAGAGUUUUCACUACGUGACGCUAUACGCAGCGAAUGUUCCGAAGAUGAUUUGAUAGCAUUGAUUGGUGCGGCAGUGAGUCGAAAGAAGAAACAGCAUGCGGGCAUGUUGAAUUUGUCUCAAAUGGAAAACCGUCCAAUGAUACUAAUCGGUGGAUAGUUUUGUAUCGUAUCAACAACAACAACAUAAAUAAACUGAUAAACCGUAGACAAUGGCUUAAGAAAGCGAAGAAAGACAUUAACAUUCAUAAUAAUACCGUCACACGAUUACAUCACAAAAAGAGUGAAAUUUUUGAAUCACGGAGAGAACAACGGAUUAAUUACCCCAAAAUCAGCAAAGACUU